rnacentral:rRNA from 1 species
GUGGGGAAUAUUGGACAAUGGGCGAAAGCCUGAUCCAGCCAUGCCGCGUGAGUGAUGAAGGCCCUAGGGUUGUAAAGCUCUUUCACCGGGGAAGAUAAUGACGGUACCCGGAGAAGAAGCCCCGGCUAACUUCGUGCCAGCAGCCGCGGUAAUACGAAGGGGGCUAGCGUUGUUCGGAAUUACUGGGCGUAAAGCGCACGUAGGCGGAUCGGUCAGUUAGGGGUGAAAUCCCAGGGCUCAACCCUGGAACUGCCUUUAAUACUGCCGGUCUAGAGUUCGAGAGAGGUGAGUGGAAUUCCGAGUGUAGAGGUGAAAUUCGUAGAUAUUCGGAGGAACACCAGUGGCGAAGGCGGCUCACUGGCUCGAUACUGACGCUGAGGUGCGAAAGCGUGGGGAGCAAACAGGAUUAGAUACCCUUGUAGUCC